CACCAAAGUGAAGGCAACUUGGUAACAUCACAGCCACAAGCACCAGAGAGCUGUAACCUGAUAAUAACUAGGAUCAUCUUUGAGUAUACUCUAGAUUGCAGUGAAGAUGGUGAAGUUUGCAGUGUUGGCUGUUUUCUCAUUGACCUUCAGCAUGGUGAAUGGAAUGCUAAAUCCUUUUUCUCCUCUCCAAGGUGAGGCAUGACACAGUUCUGGACAUGGCACUUUCAUCUGUCGACGAUGCAUACAAGGGCUGUGUUCCAGCUAUGUUGACCAGGUGAAAGUGUACCUGAAAGAAGAGAUUACAGCCAAUACGAACGACUUCGAACUCGUUGGACAGACCAUUAUGAUGCUCUUGACAACAAAGAGUCUGAUGGGGAAUUUACAGUUGAACAUAUUCUUGCAAUCAAGUUGUACUCUGGUGUUUUGUACAAAACCCUCAAUGAUGCAGUUCGUGUGGGAAAAGAUAAAUAUAAAGCAAAAACAUUUGAGUUCUAUGCAUGGCUUUUUCUGCUGUCUGAUGCCAUACGUAUUCUGAAAGAAAAAAAGAAUCCCAAUGAAUGUUUGAAAACCGUAUACCGUGGAACCAAAUGUGUUUACAAGGGUCAGUUAAAUCAAGAAAUUAGAUUUGGCAAAUUCCUCUCAACCUCUACUUCUCAGACUCUUGCUGCAGAAUUUGGAACUGAAAAUUGUUUUGAAAUUGAAACAUGCUAUGGUGCCUCUGUGGAAAAAUAUACGAUCGUGGGGCCACUUGAGGCAGAGGUUUUGAUCCCCCUUAUGAGAAAUUAAAAAUUGAGGAAGUGAAAAAGAGAGAAACAGUCAAAGACCUGUGGUGCAAAGUUGUUUUCAAACUGAAAAGUGCAACAUAUUUAAGUGAUCUGAACUGUGCUUUAGUGUAAAUACAGAUCAAGCCGAGUAGGAAUCAGAUAAUGAUUCUACUACUUUGCCAUAUGUGGAGAAACAUAUGAGCAAUAUCCGUACCUAUUUGCAUUGAGAUUUAAGUUCUUAAUAUGACAUCUUGCAUUUACUGAAAUCUGUCAUCUAGAUGGUGCCUCUGUCUACAGCUUCUAUCAAUACCAACACUGUAAAGUGUUAUAACCCACUGCCUUAAAAUUGUAAGUUAUGUCAACACGGGACAUUUUGUUAACAUAACCUCAUAUUAGUAUACAAGUUAAUUCAACUCUAAAUUGUACAUCCAGGGUAAACUUAUAUUUUGUGAAUACAGCAAACUAUUGAGUCAAUUUCGUGGUCCAUAUCUGUCACGUCCUGACCAGUAAAGGGGUUAUUUGUUAUUGUAGUUUGGUCAGGAUGUGGCAGGGGGAUGUUUGUUUUAUGUGGUUCGGGGUUUGUUGGGAUAUGUGUUUAUGUAGAGGGGUGUUUGUUUAGAGUAUUCCGGGGUUUUUGGUUAUGUUCUAUGUUUUGUAUUUCUAUGCUCUGUCUAUGUUGUGUAUUUCUUUGUGUUGGCCUGGUAUGGCUCUCAAUCAGGAACAGCUGUACAUCGUUGUUGCUGAUUGGGAGUCAUACUUAGGUAGCCCUGUUUUCACCUGUCCUUUGUGGGAAGUUGUUUUUGAACUGCUGUGUUUAGCCUGUAAUACUGUGCGGUCGUUCGUUUUCUUGUUUUGUUUUGUAAGUGUUCUAAUAAACAUUAUAAUGAGCACUCAACCCGCUGCGCCUUGGUCCACUAUAUACGACGACCGUUACAAUAUCUUUUUGAGACAUACAUUCAUUUUCAUUUUCCGUCAAGAUGUUUUAAUCAAACAAGUCUAUUUCCGCUUUCUUAAAAAAAAAAAAAAUACAAAUAUAUUUUGUGAUACAAAUAUAUUUUCAAUGUCUGUUAGUUAUAUUUUAAUGAGUUAGUGGUCCACUGUUAUUGUUACAUUCUGUCAUCAGGACACAGACAUUAAGAUGUUACAGUCACUAGACUUGCACUACCCUGUGUAACAGACUCCAUUGGGGAUGCAUGCAGCUUCUGCCAACAUUAAUAAAGAAAAACAUUCAGCAUUA
rnacentral:lncRNA from 1 species